GAUGUUACCCAAUCAGGACUUCCCUACACAGACAUAUAAGAACUAUUGAAGAUAAUAAUUAUUUUAUUAGUUUGGUUUGUGUCGACCCAAGACUACAUAUAAUUAUUUUGUUGUCGUGAAGACUAACAAGUCCGAAUAGCAACGGAAUCCAAUCGAAUUAGUAGGCUUACAGUAAUCUAGUUAACAUCAAGUAUCUUUUUUGCUCAUAGCUUCCAGGACAAAGAUUUCAAAGAAACACAAAAUAAUGGCGAAUCAUGGAUACUCAUUUGAGGGACAAGUUGGCAAGUACUUACGAGAUAAAUACGGAAGUUCACGAGUCCAGUCACAAGUACCAAUGAAUGGAAGAAUUGCUGACUUUGUUGUGAAUGGUAACCAAGUAUGGGAAGCGAAGUCUGCGCCGAAGAUCGAUAAAGACGAUCAUGUCCUUAAAGCGGCAACCACUGCUAGAGGAUACGGAAAAGCUUUCCUUGCCAUUGGACGAGAUGCAAGUGUUUCCUCCACCGUCCAGCGGCAUGCAAACGAUAAUGGUGUGCAGAUAGUCAGAAUGCAGUUUAAUUAAUAAACAUAAUCGAUGAGUUAACCAUUAUUUAUAUUUCUGAAAAUUGAAGACAUAUAGAGUGAUAUUAGAGUAGACCUUGUCAUUGCCAUUCAGUUUAGUACUUGAGAUGAAUUAUAAAAUUAAGCUAUACGUACUUUUUAAUCCGUAAAAUGCAUUACCAUUCCUAAUAUCAGAUAAAUUUUAAAAUGCAAUUUGUAAAUUUCAUAUAGUGUCAAGUAGUAGGCCUAUGCGCUAAAUAAUCGUAUGCUUAUUAUUAUAAUAAGCGUUCUAGGGCGGAUGUAGCGGGUGGGGAUGCAGACGGUGCGACCACACCAACCUAAAUUGUGUUAAGACAAAAUAAUUGUUGUAUUGUAUUUUUACUAUAUUAUUUUUAUCAUUAAAGAUAUAAUGCCGGUUAGAUUUUUAAACUAUGAGAGUGUAAUUUCCGGGCAUCUUGAGGUCCAUAUUCUCAAAAUUGUCUCAACCAGGGUGGGGCUGAGGUGGUGUGGAUUCUCACGCACCCCCCCUACCGCCAAAUCCUGCAUUCGCCCCAAACAUUCUUAUAUUAUGAUAACAAUAAGAGAAUUUGAAUUACCUCACUAUGCAUUGUGAUUUUGAAGGGCAUACAAAUGUAGCAGAAAAAACAGAAUGAAGCUUAUAAUAGGAAUUUUGUUAUCAGACCUUAUGUAUUAGUAAAUAGAUAUUAUUAAAUGUGUGUUAGCUGUUCUUAUUAAAGUAAACACAGCGA